ACUAUAUUUUAUUGCAUAAUAUUUUUAAUUUGAGUUAUUUUUGUAAAAUAAUUUGUUAAAAUUUAUUGGCUCAAUUCAUCCAAUUUUAUUUGCUAUAAAAAGUGAUUAAAUUUUUUUAAGUUUGAAGUAAUUAUUAGUAUUUGAUAAAAGUUUUAAUUUUUAAAUCAAAUUAAUUCUUAAAAUUUUAAGUUUAGGAGAGGGGCAUGUAGUAGAAGAGUCUGUGAAUGU
rnacentral:lncRNA from 1 species